ACAGCCUUCCACCAUGCUGCAUCCAGGGGUAACAUAAGUAUUGUAAAAAUGCUCCUUGAGCACAACGUAGACAUUGAAGCCAAAACAGAGUAUGGCAUGACACCGUUGCAACUUGCAGAAUUUGAAGAGAAACCUGAAAUGGUAGAAUUUUUAGCAGCGAAGUGUGCAAAAAGCACUGGAUCAUCAGCUCAGAGAACUGAAGUGAAGCAUGUCAGGUUUAAUGAAGAAGUCUUAUAUUUUGAAGAGGAAAGGCCUUUGUCCUGGUAAGGUUUAACAAUUCCUUAAUAGUAGGUAAAUUCAAAGAUAAGAAGCAAAUUCUUGUUGUGAGUACUUUGAGAGCUGUGUCUUACAAGUCCCACAACAUUAUGAAUAUAUUUUUUAGCUUGGAAACUUGCUCAGUUUAGUUCAUAGGAACAUGAACACUGUAUUCACCCACCAUUUCCAAGAACCAACUCUGCAGUUUGGAAAAAGAGCCUGCUGGGAUUAGCUAUGCACAUGGAUGUCCAUUUAAGAUUUAUUGGCUUUUCAAAGCCUUACUGAAUUCAAUUUGUGAACUAAGACCCACACUAGUAGCUAUCAUUUCAGACAUUUCUCUUGUCUGAGAGUUUACAUAAUUCUGGAUGCUUCUCAGUUGUCAGUCAUCACUACAGGAUGCCAACAAAUUUCUUUCCACUUCUGACAGAACUUUACAUGCAAAGGACUUUUUUGUCAGGGGUAGCAUCUUUCAUAGCUGUUGGAAGACACCCAUGUUUUCCAGAAUGCUCCAUCCAUCAAUGAUCUGUUCACGUGAUCUGUUUUCCACAGUAAUGAAUCCUUUAACUCUCAGUACAUUAUCUGAAUGACAGUGUAUCUAAUAGUUAUCUUUCUACAAAGGGGGCUUUUGUCUUACACAUCAGUUGGACAUGACCAUAGAGGUGAAGGCCCAUCCACUCCUGUCCAGGAUGCUAGGUUAGACACAGCUUGAUAGAAAACUAAAAGUUGUAUUUCGAGCUAAUUCUGUGCACAUUAGGAUUCAUUACUUCCACAAGAGAGGACAACUACAUUGUCCUCUUUAUUUGUGCUAUGUAUCAACAAAACAUUUUCUAAACAUUAUUAAAUAGCUUACUGAAUCCAAAGGUAAUGUGGAAAGUGAAGAUUCAAAAAAUUUCAGGACUUAAAGCUCUUCAGAGACUCCUUGAAAAAUGCAUAUGUUGACUUCUUUUUAAUUCUAAACAGUUCCACAGUAAAACUGAAAGUGUCAACUAAAUUUUAUUGUUCUUUGCUCUUGUUACUCUCUUAUUAUUUUCCUAGAAAUGCUUGUUUGGCAUAGAAACAAGCAGACUGUGAUAUCAGGAUUCAGUCAUGCAUGAGAUAAGAAGGGGCAGCUUGAACAUUAUGAAAGCUCUGGUGGGUUGGUUAGAGUUCCUGAAAUCUAUUUGAUGGUCCACAAAACAUCCACUUGUGUGGUAACAUCAUAGUCAAUGAAAUGUGCACAAAGUAUCAUGAGAGAAGUACUUUGCUGUUCCAGGGGCAAGGACUGACAUUGAGUCAAAUCAUUAAAAAAAAAAAUCUGUCUGUAUCAUAACAAAGUCAGACGAGGUAUCGGUGAGUGUGCGUGUGUGCAUGCAUGCUUGUCUGUAUCUGUGUGUAGUUUUGUUGAGCUAUAUUUUGUGGGCUAAAUUCUUCCCUUUCUUCCACAUGAAAAGAAGUUGUAAGGAAAGUGUUCCCAAAUGUAAUAAACUGGUUAAAGAACAAGUUAAUAGUUUUUAUUGAUUUGUAAUGUAACAUAAAUUAGGAAAUCAAACAACAAAGAAUUCAAAGUCUUUGAUUACUGUUUUAUAUGAAAUUAAAAUAACACUCUUAAAAUAUGCCACAGUGGAGCAAGACCACCAGGACAGCUUAAAUCCAUCUUGAAAAACUCUGUCCAGUAUAAUACAGUUACUGAGAAAAUUACUAGAAGAACAUCACUUGGUUUCCUGAAUUCCAAGAAUGGUUUGUACAGGUGUUCAAAAGCAGAAGAUGUCAGGUAUACUUCCUGUAUCAAGGAAGAAUCUAGCAAAACUUUACUUAGACUACAGAAGAGGAUGCAAAAGGGUUUUGUGGGUUUUUGGAGUUCUGGAGUUUAUGUGUGUUCUCGGGGAGAGCCGAUACCUAACAGUUGUGAAGAAAAAGCAUCCUUAAUGGUGCGAGGAAAUAAACCACCUAUUUUCCUUCCUGUUCCUGGGAAGCAGGGAAUUUAUGUGCUUGAGGCUCCUGGUGACAUUGAGCCAACUCAACCCACAAGUGCUGCUGACAGCAGGGCUCCUGCUGAUGCUGAGCCAAAUUCUUCCACCUGUGCUGCUGUCAAUGGGGCUCCUGUUAAUGUUGAGCCAACUCCUUCACAACUUGCACCUGACAGUGGUGCUCCUGCUGAUGUUGAGCCAACUCAUUCCACCUGUGCUGCUGACACCAGGGCUCCUGCUGACAUAGAACCAACUCCUUCACAAAGUGCUCCUGACAGUACUGCUCCUUCUAAUAUUGAGAAAAUUACUUCCCCAUGUCCUUCUGACAGUUCUGAAUCUGAUGAAAAAUAUGACUUAGAAACAGGUGAGGAACCCAGUCCUGUUGCUGACCUAGAUGAAGAUAUAGCUGAGGAUUUUUAUGACGCUUUAGAGUCAGCCGAUCUCACUGGCCAUAGCGGGUCCACUGUCCAGGUACCAGGUUUUCUUUGGGAACCAGAUAUGCUACUGCUGCUGGUAAUGCCCUUGAUGUGGUUUCUUACAUUCCUGUUAUCAAUGAUGAUGUGGAUUAGAAAUCAAAUUCGGCAAGUGUGGUAUGAAGAAAAUGGCCAAGGACCUUCCUCCAACAGAAAAGAUAACCCCGAUGCCGCUGGAGCUGAACACUCCAACACACACUGAUAUAUCCAGACAAAAUGUGUGAGGAAAAUGUUUAUUAUACAUAUGUAAAUAUAUAAAUUUUAUAUAUAAAUAAAAAGUUUUAUCUGAU
rnacentral:lncRNA from 1 species